rnacentral:rRNA from 1 species
GAUGAACGCUGGCGGCGUGCCUAAUACAUGCAAGUCGAGCGAACAGACGAGGAGCUUGCUCCUCUGACGUUAGCGGCGGACGGGUGAGUAACACGUGGAUAACCUACCUAUAAGACUGGGAUAACUUCGGGAAACCGGAGCUAAUACCGGAUAAUAUAUUGAACCGCAUGGUUCAAUAGUGAAAGACGGUUUUGCUGUCACUUAUAGAUGGAUCCGCGCCGCAUUAGCUAGUUGGUAAGGUAACGGCUUACCAAGGCAACGAUGCGUAGCCGCCCUGAGAGGGUGAUUAGCCCGACUGGGAGUGAGACCCGGUCCAGUCUCCUACGGGUGCCAGCAGGAGGGAUUCUUCCGGCAUGGGCGAGAGCCUGACGGAGCAGCGCCGCGUGAUUGAUGAGGGUCUUCGGAUCGUAAAACUCUGUUAUUGGGGAAGAACAAAUGUGUAAGUAACUAUGCACGUCUUGACGGUACCUAAUCAGAGAGCCACGGCUAACUUCGUG